rnacentral:hammerhead_ribozyme from 1 species
AUCCAUCUGAUAAGUUCCAAAUAGGAUGAAAGGCGCGUCCUGUAU